rnacentral:rRNA from 1 species
GAUGAACGCUGGCGACGUGCUUAACACAUGCAAGUCGAACGAAGCACUUUAUUUGAUUUCCUUCGGGACUGAUUAUUUUGUGACUGAGUGGCGGACGGGUGAGUAACGCGUGGGUAACCUGCCUUGUACAGGGGGAUAACAGUUGGAAACGGCUGCUAAUACCGCAUAAGCGCACGGCAUCGCAUGAUGCAGUGUGAAAAACUCCGGUGGUAUAAGAUGGACCCGCGUUGGAUUAGCUAGUUGGUGAGGUAACGGCCCACCAAGGCGACGAUCCAUAGCCGACCUGAGAGGGUGACCGGCCACAUUGGGACUGAGACACGGCCCAAACUCCUACGGGAGGCAGCAGUGGGGAAUAUUGCACAAUGGGCGAAAGCCUGAUGCAGCGACGCCGCGUGAGCGAAGAAGUAUUUCGGUAUGUAAAGCUCUAUCAGCAGGGAAGAUAAUGACGGUACCUGACUAAGAAGCACCGGCUAAAUACGUG